GAUGAAGAACGUAGCGAAAUGCGAUAAGUAAUGUGAAUUGCAGAAUUCAGUGAAUCAUCGAAUCUUUGAACGCACAUUGCGCCCGCCAGUAUUCUGGCGGGCAUGCCUGUUCGAGCGUCAUUUCAACCAUCAAGCCCCAGGCUUGUGUUGGGGACCUGCGGCUGCCGCAGGCCCUGAAAACCAGUGGCGGGCUCGCUAGUCACACCGAGCGUAGUAGCAUACACAUCGCUCAGGGCGUGCUGCGGGUUCCGGCCGUUAAACCCCUUUUUUACCCAAGGUUGACCUCGGAUCAGGUAGGAAGACCCGCUGAACUUAAGCAUAUCAUAAGCGGAGGA
rnacentral:misc_RNA from 1 species